rnacentral:rRNA from 1 species
UUAGGAAUCUUGCGCAAUGGGGGAAACCCUGACGCAGCCAUGCCGCGUGAAUGAUGAAGGUCUUAGGAUUGUAAAAUUCUUUCAGCGGGGACGAUAAUGACGGUACCCGCAGAAGAAGCCCCGGCUAACUUCGUGCCAGCAGCCGCGGUAAUACGAAGGGGGCUAGCGUUGCUCGGAAUUACUGGGCGUAAAGGGCGCGUAGGCGGAUGUUUAAGUCAGAGGUAAAAGCCCAGGGCUCAACCUUGGAACU